GUGUGCGGAGCGCGCGCGCGCGGCUCGGAGGCGCACCUGUGAGGUGUCCCUGGAGGAGAGGGCGGGUGGGUGCGCGGAGCCCGCGGCCUGGGGCGCUUACACCCCUCACUUGGACGCCUUCAGCCCCGGCAGAGGCAGCCAGCAUCCUACUCAGGUGAUGAAGAACCCUUUGCGCACCCAGCGCAGGAGGCUGCUGCCGCUGGACGCCUCCAUUGUUUGACCACAAGGGCCGGAUUCUCACCCAGCAGGAUCCAAAGGCCUUGCAGCCCUUCAGCCACUGUGGGCCCUGCCUCUACCUAUUCUUCUGGAAUGUCUUGGGGGUUUUGAUUCCUGUCACUGUGACCGUGAAUCCAAGAGAUACGUCUCUUCAGAAGAUAAGAGAGCUUCUUCAGGAUCAAAAAAGGAGACUGGCAUGCUACCUAUAUAGGGAAUUCCCAGAAGCAAGGCUGGUCAUACCUGGAACCUGAAGAACUUGCUUCCUGCAAAGGUGUCCUCUCUGAUGUGCAGGAGGCAGAAUGUCAUACUGACUCUGCAAGGGGAGGCUACAAGGGCUCAAGACCAACCACCAGUAUCUUACCCUCGAACACAGGGGGAUACACUGUGCAGUCCUUUUUCUAGAAGUGAGAAGUACGAGAUUAUUCUACAAGAGGAAGAUUCCAGGGGCUUAAAAACAUAAGGUUUGCACGUUGGAGCCCCUUGGAAUGUUGACAACUCAGGAUCUAAAAGAAAGUUCUAUGUUAAUGAGUUACAGAAUUCAUGUGGAGGUAAAUGUCACUUUAUAACCAAUAAUAAUACUGAGUGAGGAACACUAUGCAGGAAGAAACUUCCCAUAGAAAGACAGGCAGGGAAAAGCUUAGGCCGACCUUAAUCUUACCCAAUAGAGCAAGCCUGAGAUAAACUGCCACAAUGGCCAAAUAAGAGACUUUAUGAAGUAGCAAUCCUGUAACUUUAGUAGUUGUAAGCAAAUUUUCUCCUCUAAGUCACGAUACCAAAUAGGAAAAAUGAUCUACAAGUGCCCCAUGUGUAGGGAAUUUUUCUCUGAGAGAGCAGAUCUUUUUAUGCAUCAGAAAAUUCACACAGCUGAGAAGCCCCAUAAAUGUGACAAGUGUGAUAAGGGUUUCUUUCAUAUAUCAGAACUUCAUAUUCAUUGGAGAGACCACACAGGAGAGAAGGUCUAUAAAUGUGAUGAUUGUGGUAAGGAUUUUAGCACUACAACAAAACUUAAUAGACAUAAGAAAAUCCAUACAGUGGAAAAACCCUAUAAAUGUUAUGAGUGUGGCAAAGCCUUCAAUUGGAGCUCCCAUCUUCAAAUUCAUAUGAGGGUUCACACAGGGGAGAAACCCUAUGUCUGUAGUGAGUGUGGAAGGGGCUUUAGUAAUAGUUCAAACCUCUGCAUGCAUCAGAGAGUCCAUACCGGAGAGAAACCCUUUAAAUGUGAAGAGUGUGGUAAGGCCUUCAGGCACACUUCCAGCCUUUGCAUGCAUCAAAGAGUCCACACAGGAGAGAAACCCUAUAAAUGUUAUGAGUGUGGGAAGGCCUUCAGUCAGAGUUCAAGCCUCUGCAUCCACCAGAGAGUCCACACCGGAGAGAAACCCUAUAGGUGCUGUGGGUGUGGGAAGGCCUUCAGUCAGAGUUCCAGCCUCUGCAUCCACCAGAGAGUCCAUACAGGAGAGAAACCUUUUAAAUGUGAUGAGUGUGGAAAGGCGUUCAGUCAGAGUACAAGUCUCUGCAUUCACCAGAGAGUUCACACAAAGGAGAGAAACCAUCUCAAAAUAUCAGUUAUAUAAAACAUUUUGCUAUGAGUUAAAAAAUCUUAAAACCCAUAAGUGCCACUAGGAAGGAAACCCUGUAAAUACAACAUUGACCCAAGAAAUAUUUACAGCAAUCCCUAGCAGAACAUUCUUUUUGAGGAGGCAUAUGUGAGGUUGAUUUUUUGAUUCAUGCCAAGAGUGUUCCACAACUUGACUCUGAAUGUAGACUCCCCUGUCAGGUUCCCAGUUGCAGAUGUGCGUUUCCUGGAAUUUCAGCACGAUGCCUCAGUGGUUGAAUACUGCACAGAAAGACCAUGAUCAUUGCCUAGCCUCCUGAGUCACCUUCUGUCUGUGCUUUACUUACGUUAUCCCAGAUAUUCCCCCUUUUAGGAGAUCAUGCCCUUCUUUCCUCUUGAUUUCAAGCAUACUGGUUAAUGCAUUUGAAAAUGGACAGCUCCCACUGAGGUAGUGUUCUGGUGUUUCUGAGGUUACCACUUGAUUCAGCUCCUGCAUAUCUUUCCAUAUAUGCCAUUAUUUCUGAACCCACUUUAUAUGUCCUGAAAGUGCCCAUAAAUACCCAGCCCUUCCUAGAUGGCAUUAAAUUUCAUUUUAGAUUUCAGGUAACUCAUGAUAUCCAUUCACUUGGCCUAUCAGAGAAAUCAUUGGCAGACAUACAUGCCCUUGAACUUUUCUUUAACCCUUUUUUAGUUUGGAUUCUGCUAAUCACUGUGUCUCUGUUAGUCAGACUUAUUUUCUAGUGGCUGCAUCACAUAUUUUUAACUUAAAUUGUUUGGAAAUAGCUGAAUAUAAAUAGCAGGGAGGAAGAGGCAAGCAAAGCGAGAACUUUCCUCCAUCCAGAAUUGCCCUGUCAGGCUCCUUUUGCAACAUGGAGCUCCUUACUAGCUGUGGGAGACCUAUGAGCAGGGGGUACAAGGAGGAGUCACUGUUAAUAUUGAGUCUGUUUCUGUAGUCUCUGACAGUAAUGUGUAGGAGUCCUCGAUAGCCCUUCAUUCAGUAUUGUGUAUCAGUUCCUUUUGAGGCAUGAUGUCUAUUAAUCCAUCCUUUAUUCAUUCAACAAAUAUUUAUUGAACAUCUCCUAUGUGCCAGGCACUGUGCUAGGUGCUGGGAAUACCACUGAAUAAGACAAGAUCUCUACUCGUGGAGUUUACUUCUGGUGGAGGAGACAGAUGAUAAGCAAGUAAACAAAUAAAUAAUGUAGUUUGAGAUAGUGAUUAAGUGCUAUGAAGAAAAUAAACUAGGGUGAUGCUUUAGAGUGGUGGGGUGGGGUGGGGGUGGGGUGACAUUAGCUAGCGGUCAGAGAAGACCUUUCUGAGGGGUGGCCUUGGAGCUGAGGCUGAGGAUGGGGCACCAGCUGGCAGAGCACAGAUGCUGCUCUGGUGGGGGGGCUUGCCAGAACAUUUAAGGAACAAAAGGAAGGCCAGGUGCUGGAGUUGGGGAGCAGCGGGGAGGGGACAGAUGUUGAGCUGCUCAGUAUCCUGACUAUUAUAGGCUUUUUUUUUUUUUUUUUUUU